GACACAGAACAAAUCAUAUCUCAUCUGGUAUGUCGAGGAUUUAUGAAGGAUUACACAAUUUGGACAAAGCAUGGAGAGGGUAGCUCUUCGCCUUAUACCACUGGAAACCCUGAGAACAUCGACGACAGAUUUCAGUUCGUUCACGAGACACACCAACCUCUUCCACAGAGCGAACAUGUAGUGCAAAAUGUUACUGAUCAUGGUUACGCUCGAGGAAAUGAACAUGAUAGACCUCAUGUUCUGCCAAGUGUUAUGGAUGAGGAAGAUGCAGAGUUGCUAGAGGCAAUGUUGUGUCGUCAUACAGAUCAAUCGAUGUUCUUAAUGAAAGGUAUGGAGUCCCUGAAGAAGACAGCAGAAGAGCCUUUGUACGACGAGUCUAAGGGUUGUACCAAAGAGUUCACGACGCUCCGGUCUGUGCUAAAGCUGUUGAUGUUAAAAGCUAAAUAUGGUGUGUCUGAUGCUGGCUUCGAUGCGUUCUUGAGUAUUAUCGCAGACAUGCUUCCAAAGGAGAACAAUGUGCCUGCUAACACGUACUAUGCAAAGAAACUAAUCAGUCCGCUCACUAUGGGUGUGGAGAAGAUCCACGCGUGUAGAAAUCACUGUAUCCUUUAUCGAGGUGAUGAUUAUAAAGACUUGGAGAGCUGCCCAAAGUGCGGUGCAAGUAGGUACAAGACGAAUAAAGACUAUCGAGAGGACGAAGAGUGUGUUGCAUCCAUGUCUAAAGGGAAGAAGCGAAAGAAAGCCCAAAAAAAGACUUCAAAAUCCACGAGCAAAGAAAAAGAAGUAGACUAUUAUGCGCUCAAAAAGAUUCCUGCUUUGGUGAUGUGGUACCUCCCCGUCGUUUGCUUUAUAAAACCGCCAGUGGAAAUGCAUUUUCACUGGCGGUUUUCUUUAUUCAGUCGCCAGUGGAAAUGCACUUUUCACUGGCGGUUCCUUAAGAAAACCGCCAGUGAAAAUGCACUUUUCACUGGCGGUUCCAAAAUAACCACCAGUGGAAAUGCUGAUUUCCACUGACCCCUAGCACUGGCGGUACUGAAAAACGCCAGUGUAAAUAUGUUUAGAACCGCCACUAUAGAGCUUCUGUGUACUAGUGUUUAUAACUACCUAAAACCCAAUGGUCUAUUUCCAUUAUUUGUAGACUUCUCGGGGUUCUAUUCGUAAAGAACAUGACCCAUUUGUGGUGAAACUAGAGUUGUAGGGGUCGGUGGGUUGAUUUCAAGAUAGCUCAUGGGUUCCUAAUGAAAAAGGCCAUGGAGGGGGUUGAUUAUAUAUCGGUCGUUAGAUCCCCAAUCGAGGGCCACAAUUAGGUUUGGCUCGUUUUAAAACCGGCACAUAUCGUUGUCCCUUAUAACCGCAAUCCAUAGCACGGACGCCUUCCACGCUCCCAUUGACUCACACCCCUCAGAUCCGAACCUAGCGCCCCUGACUUAAUCAUGAAACGGUACCCCAACUUCUAAUCUAGCACGCCAGCACAAGAUCCAACGGUUAGAAGUUUGUCGUCCUCCUCCUAGCACCGGACUGCAGCGCCCACACGCACAGAACGGCGGCGACAUCGCCGGUGCACCUAGUUCCAUGCUCCGGUCCACUAACUGCUAAAUCGAUGGGUCCUAUGAGAAGAGGAGGAAACCAUGAUUUAUCAGAAGAGGUUCUCACCUCCGGUGAUGAUGUGAAGGCCUCUAACCACGUUGAUGGCAACCCCGUGGCAGCAUAGUGACCACGGCGAGCAAUCCCGAGGACCCCAGCUUCAAAUCACCCCCAGCGAGGUCAUGGGCGCCCUCCGCGCGCCCUGGGCAAUCUCCCUAGCCUAACUCUAAGGCCCCAACGAGGGUGCACAUGAGUCCUACCAUGGCGGCACUCCUACCUCCUCCCCUGCUCCAAGCGCAUGUUCUGUUCGCCAG